AAUCGAACCCGGAGAUAGCUGGUUCUCCCCGAAAUAGCUUUAGGGCUAGCGUCGGAAAGAACCUUAGUGAAGGUAGAGCACUGAAUGUGUGAUGGCCCCAUCCCGGGGUACUGAAUACAAUCAAACUGCGAAUGUCAUUAAGGAUGUCCGGCAGUCAGACUGUGAGUGAUAAGGUCCAUGGUCAAGAGGGAAACAGCCCAGACCGCCAGUUAAGGUCCCAAAAUACAGGCUAAGUGGAAAAGGAUGUGGGGAUGCCCAGACAACUAGGAGGUUGGCUCAGAAGCAGCCAUCCUUUAAAGAGUGCGUAACAGCUCACUAGUCGAGUGACCCUGCGCCGAAAAUGUACCGGGGCUAAGCCUGAUACCGAAACUGCGGAUUGUAGGAAACUAUAGUGGUAGGGGAGCGUUGUAUACGAGUAGAAGCCGUACCGUGAGGAGCGGUGGAUUGUAUAGAAGUGAGAAUGCCGGUGUGAGUAGCGAGAUGUAGGUGAGAAUCCUACACACCGAAAGCCCAAGGAUUCCAGGGGAAGGUUCGUCCGCCCUGGGUAAGUCGGGACCUAACGCGAGGCCGAAAGGCGUAGUGGAUGGAAAGCAGGCGAAAGAUUCCUGCACCCGUAUAUGGAGCGAAGGAGUGACGGAGACGGAUAGUGUGACCCUCUUAAUGGAUUGAGGGCGAAGCGAAGCGGCUGGUUACCAGGCAAAUCCGGUAACCAUAAGGCUAGAGCGUGAUAGGUAAGCGAAAUCUUCGGAAAGUAGCGAAGCACAUGAUGACGGCUUCCAGGAAAAGCUUCUGGCAAUGCAUAUGCGGCCCGUACCAAAACCGACACAGGUGGGCAGGGAGAGAAUCCCGAGGUGAGCGAGAGAACUGUUGCCAAGGAACUCGGCAAAAUGACUCCGUAAGUUAGCGAGAAGGAGUGCUUAAGCAAUUAAGCCGCAGUGAAGAGGCCCAAGCGACUGUUUAACUAAAACACAGCUCUCUGCGAAGUCGCAAGACGAAGUAUAGGGGGUGACACCUGCCCGGUGCUGGAAGGUUAAGAGGAUCUGUUAAGAGCGAUCUGAAGCAGUGAUCCGAAGCCCCAGUGAACGGCGGCCGUAACUAUAACGGUCCUAAGGUAGCGAAAUUCCUUGUCAGGUAAGUUCUGACCCGCACGAAAGGUGUAACGAUUUGGGCGCUGUCUCGGCAGCAGACUCGGUGAAAUCUUAGUACCUGUGAAAAUGCAGGUUACCCGCAACUAGACGGAAAGACCCCAUGGAGCUUUACUGCAGCCUGAUAUUGAAUUCUGGUCAUACAUGUACAGGAUAGGUGGGAGACAAAGAGACGUGCACGCCAGUGUACGAGGAGUCGACGUUGGGAUACCACUCUUGUGUGACCGGGGUUCUAACCUGGUAUCGAGAACAGGUACGGGGAGAGUGUCAGGUGGGCAGUUUGACUGGGGCGGUCGCCUCCCAAAGAGUAACGGAGGCGCCCAAAGGUUCCCUCAGCGCGGCCGGAAAUCGCGCGAAGAGUGUAAAGGCAGAAGGGAGCUUGACUGAGAGCCAAACACGGCGAUCAGGUACGAAAGUAGGGCUUAGUGAUCCGGUGGCAUCCAAGUGGAAGGGCCAUCGCUCAACGGAUAAAAGCUACCCUGGGGAUAACAGGCUAAUCUCUCCCAAGAGUCCAUAUCGACGGGGAGGUUUGGCACCUCGAUGUCGGCUCAUCACAUCCUGGGGCUGAAGUCGGUCCCAAGGGUUGGGCUGUUCGCCCAUUAAAGUGGUACGUGAGCUGGGUUCAGAACGUCGUGAGACAGUUCGGUCCCUAUCCAUCGCGGGCGCAAGAGAUUUGAAGGGGGCUGCUCCUAGUACGAGAGGACCGGAGUGGACGAACCAAUGGUGUACCAAUUAUCUCGCCAGAGGUAUAGUUGGGUAGCUACGUUCGGAAAGGAUAAACGCUGAAAGCAUCUAAGCGUGAAACCAGCCUUAAGAUGAGAUCUCUCAUAGAGUAAUCUAGUAAGACACCUUGG
rnacentral:rRNA from 1 species